GAGUUUGAUCGUGGCUCAGAUUGAACGCUGGCAGCAUGCCUUACACAUGCAAGUCGAACGGCAGCAUGAUCUAGCUUGCUAGAUUGAUGGCGAGUGGCGAACGGGUGAGUAAUACAUCGGAACGUGCCCUGUAGUGGGGGAUAACUAGUCGAAAGACUAGCUAAUACCGCAUACGACCUGAGGGUGAAAGUGGGGGACCGCAAGGCCUCAUGCUAUAGGAGCGGCCGAUGUCUGAUUAGCUAGUUGGUGGGGUAAAGGCCCACCAAGGCGACGAUCAGUAGCUGGUCUGAGAGGACGAUCAGCCACACUGGGACUGAGACACGGCCCAGACUCCUACGGGAGGCAGCAGUGGGGAAUUUUGGACAAUGGGCGAAAGCCUGAUCCAGCAAUGCCGCGUGUGUGAAGAAGGCCU
rnacentral:rRNA from 1 species